rnacentral:rRNA from 1 species
GCCAGACUCCUACGGGAGGCAGCAGUGAGGAAUAUUGGUCAAUGGGCGAGAGCCUGAACCAGCCAAGUCGCGUGAGGGAGUACUGCCCUAUGGGUUGUAAACCUCUUUUGUCGGGGAGCAAAAGCCGGACGUGUCCGGCUGUGAGAGUACCCGAAGAAAAAGCAUCGGCUAACUCCGUGCCAGCAGCCGCGGUAAUACGGAGGAUGCGAGCGUUAUCCGGAUUUAUUGGGUUUAAAGGGUGCGCAGGCGGAUUUUUAAGUCAGCGGUAAAAUCGUGGGGCUCAACCCCGGCCGGCCGUUGAAACUGGCUGUCUUGAGAUGUCGAGAGGUAUGCGGAAUGCGCAGUGUAGCGGUGAAAUGCUUAGAUAUUGCGCAGAACUCCGAUUGCGAAGGCAGCAUACCGGCGGCGAUCUGACGCUGAGGCACGAAAGCGUGGGUAUCGAACAGGAUUAGAUACCCGGGUAC